rnacentral:lncRNA from 1 species
GACAGAUGCCAGCUGUCAGUGCCUUCAGGAUCUGCUCAGGUGUGGAGAACUGCCUUCUCAGGUUGAUGCUACUCUUACGCUCUAGUGCAGUGUGCCAAAACAUGACUGAAUAAAGUCUUUGACAGUAAAGGGAACUUUGGAUGCCUUCUUGUAUUCUACAGCAUGUGCUUAGUGUCUGGGACAUCAUAAAUGGUGAACGAAGGUAAGAUAAAUGACAGAUUACAGGAACGAUUACCAAUACAACUACCUGCUUAAAACAUAUGCUAGCACUCAGAACAAGUUAAGAAAAUGAUCAAGUCUAUGAAAAAUAUAUUGAAAUACAUAUAACACUGAAUCGAAGAAACAGGCAUAAAUAUAAAAAUAAGACAUUAGAAUAAACAACCAGGUAUAUUGAGGUGAUAAAUAUGA